GGUUUUAACAAGAGAUGAUGACGGUGUGGUCUGCAUACGGCCAAUAUUGCCGAUGUGUAACCGGCGUUGCCGUCAAUGGCAGAAAUACCUUGUCAAGGAUUCCGUGAACAACCCAAAUAUUGAGUGGUAACGACCCUUUUGUGGCUACUCCUAAGGACUUCUCAAACUGAAGUGGUGAUGUAAGAAUAAAAAUUAAACUUUUUCAGAUUUUUUUUAUUUUUUAGGAAACGCUUUAUCUCGCGACACAUUAGACUGUGAGAAGGACUUAAACAUUAAAAACUAAAUACCUUUUGCGAAUGGUAUUAAUAUAAUAACAAGUUCCAGUGGUUCAUAUCAGACUUAACAACAUCUAAUUAAAACUGAA